UACGGGGGGGGCAAGCGUUGUUCGGAAUUACUGGGCGUAAAGGGCGCGUAGGCGGCCUUCUAAGUCGGACGUGAAAUCCCUCGGCUUAACCGAGGAACUGCGUCCGAUACUGAAAGGCUUGAAUCCGGGAGAGGGAUGUGGAAUUCCAGGUGUAGCGGUGAAAUGCGUAGAUAUCUGGAGGAACACCGGUGGCGAAGGCGGCUCUCUGGGACGGUACUGACGCUGAGACGCGAAAGCGUGGGGAGCAAACAGG
rnacentral:rRNA from 1 species